UUGGGAAUAUUGGGCAAUGGAGGAAACUCUGACCCAGCAACGCCGCGUGAAGGAAGAAGGUUUUCGGAUUGUAAACUUCUGUAAUAGAGGAAGAAGAAAGUGACGGUACUUUAUUAGAAAGCUACGGCAAACUACGUGCCAGCAGCCGCGGUAAGACGUAGGUAGCAAGCGUUGUCCGGAAUAACUGGGCGUAAAGGGAGCGUAGGCGGUUUUGUAAGUCUAAUGUGGAAGUUUGUGGCUUAACCAUAAAAUUGCAUUGGAUACUGUAAGACUGGAGUACGGAAGAGGUAUACGGAAUUACUAGUGUAGCGGUGGAAUGCGUAGAUAUUAGUAGGAAGACCGGAGGCGAAGGCGGUAUACUGGGACGAUACUGACGCUGAGGCUCGAAAGCGUGGGGAGCAAACAGG
rnacentral:rRNA from 1 species